UACGUAGGGUGCAAGCGUUGUCCGGAAUUAUUGGGCGUAAAGAGCUCGUAGGCGGUUUGUUGCGUCGGCUGUGAAAUCCCGAGGCUCAACCUCGGGUCUGCAGUCGAUACGAGCAAACUAGAGUGUUGCAGGGGAGACUGGAAUUCCAGGUGUAGCGGUGAAAUGCGUAGAUAUCUGGAGGAACACCGGUGGCGAAGGCGGCAUCCUGGACCGGCAUUGACGCUGAGGCGCGAAAGCCAGGGGAGCAAACGGG
rnacentral:rRNA from 1 species